CCGCAGCGGUGCACGGCUUGGCGUUGUGAAACUGAGGGCAGGCGGACGGCAUUGCUUCGGCGGUCGGUGGUUCGCGGGAGUGGUAUGCUGUGAAGAUGGAAGGACUACGUCUGGCGAAAUGCGUGCAACUGCUGCUAGUGCUGGCCACUUUGCUGUUGGGUCCGGCAGCCGGCGGCCCACGGUCAAGACCAAGCCUGGGACAGGGUGGGGCUUGGCGGACGCGCGGACCUGGCGCGGACCUGGCGGAGAACGACGACCUGGUUUACUUGCGGCGGGAACAGCCGGGCGGCGGACCGGCGGAACAGGGAAACCAUGGCAACGCCUUCGACAGUAGCGCCAGCACGCCCGCUGUGGGCGAUGGCAGCGCCGCUCCACGGCGACCGGCGGAAGCCUCGUUUGGCGCGCCAUCCGAGGCUUCGGAUGCGAACACCAGCCAACUCGAUGA